rnacentral:rRNA from 1 species
GACGAACGCUGGCGGCGUGCUUAACACAUGCAAGACGAACGGUAAGGCCCUUCGGGGUACACGAGUGGCGAACGGGUGAGUAACACGCGGGUGAUCUGCCCUGCACUUCGGGAUAAGCCUGGGAAACUGGGCCUAAUACCGGAUAGGACCACUGCCUGCAUGGGUGGUGGUGGAAAGCUUUUGCGGUGUGGGAUGGGCCCGCGGCCUAUCAGCUUGUUGGUGGGGUGAUGGCCUACCAAGGCGACGACGGGUAGCCGGCCUGAGAGGGUGACCGGCCACACUGGGACUGAGAUACGGCCCAGACUCCUACGGGAGGCAGCAGUGGGGAAUAUUGCACAAUGGGCGCAAGCCUGAUGCAGCGACGCCGCGUGAGGGAUGACGGCCUUCGGGUUGUAAACCUCUUUCAGCACCGACGAAGCGCAAGUGACGGUAGGUGCAGAAGAAGGACCGGCCAACUACGUGCCAGCCGCCGCAGUAA